AAAGAAGAUAGAGGAGGGGAAAGGUGGCUUUUCUUUCUGCGAUUUCUUGUGCAACCUGAUCUUCUCCCUUGUAACUCGUGUCAAUUUUUGUGCUGCAUGGUUAUGUGGCUGAAUCUAUUAUAGGGCAUAAGACUAGGCUACAUAUUGGACAGUUGGUGAAGGAUACCUCAGCAAAACUAAAAGAAGCCAGUGAAACCAAUCAUCAGGGAGAAGUUAGC